GAUGAACGCUGGCGGCGUGCUUAACACAUGCAAGUCGAACGGAAAGGCCCAAGCUUGCUUGGGUACUCGAGUGGCGAACGGGUGAGUAACACGUGGGUGAUCUGCCCUGCACUUCGGGAUAAGCCUGGGAAACCGGGUCUAAUACCGGAUAGGACGAUGGUUUGGAUGCCAUUGUGGAAAGUUUUUUCGGUGUGGGAUGAGCUCGCGGCCUAUCAGCUUGUUGGUGGGGUAAUGGCCUACCAAGGCGUCGACGGGUAGCCGGCCUGAGAGGGUGUACGGCCACAUUGGGACUGAGAAACGGCCCAGACUCCUACGGGAGGCAGCAGUGGGGAAUAUUGCACAAUGGGCGCAAGCCUGAUGCAGCGACGCCGCGUGGGGGAUGACGGCCUUCGGGUUGUAAACUCCUUUCGCUAGGGACGAAGCGUUUUUGUGACGGUACCUGGAGAAGAAGCACCGGCUAACUACGUG
rnacentral:rRNA from 1 species